GGGGUAUCACAAGAAAUUGUCUAGCUUCUUCAAGAUCUUAGCAACUAGUGCAGAUGAAGAUGGCAACCGUCUAUGUGUCAACAGUGCAGUCACGGAGAUAUCCAGUGACCGGUGUGCAAUUUCACCCAGAGAAAAAUGCUUUCGAAUGGGGCUUAUCAGGGAUCCCACACUCAGAAGAUGCAAUUCAAGUCUCUCAACAAAUUGCUAACUUUCUUGUAAGGGAGGCCAGAAUGUCCUUGAACAGGCCAUCCUCCCAGGAAGUUCUUGACAACCUCAUAUAAUAUUACACUCCCACUUAUUGUGGAAAAUCUGGGCGAGGGUUUGAUGAGGUAUAUAUUUUCAGCUAGUAGGCGGCUGGAUUGGAUAAUCAAGCUCCGGAUAUUAUACGUGACGUGUACAUAUCGUACUGUUAAAUCAAGUCCACAACUAUUUAAUACACAUUAAAACAAUUAUGCCCACUAAUAUUGGACUUUCAAGCUAUUUAUGUAUGUGAAGUACU